rnacentral:sRNA from 1 species
GUUAACAAAAGGAUUAAUGGGUUGCUUAAAUUAGUGAGCUUCAUCAGUUUUAUUUUUAAUUCCUUGAGAUAAUGAAUUUUAAAAGCAAUAAAUACAAUGCUGUAGUUUUUGACUUCUUUUCUAAAUAUUUACAUGGAUUUACAUGAAAGAACUAAAGAGAUAGUAUUUGUGGAACCAGUUUAAACUCUUACAUGCCUUUCAGGAUUUGGGAAUGUAUUAACACCUGCUGCUUUGUAUCCAGUCUAAGGGAGCCUAUUUGUUUGUUAUCACAUUGACUUCCUUUGAUGUCUUUUAGUGUUACCCUCACUCAGACCCAAGGAUUAUGUCUUUUGGGGCUCCCAUCAUCCUGAGCUAGAGACACGUGACAGGGGUACACUCUCCUACAAAACCAGCCAGUUACUCAGUAAAGUGGACGAUAGAAGAAAAAGAGCUGUUUGAACAAGGGCUGGCUAAAUUUGGCCGAAGAUGGACCAAAAUUUCAAAGCUAAUUGGAAGCCGCACUGUUUUACAAGUGAAGAGUUAUGCAAGACAGUAUUUUAAAAAUAAGGUCAAAUGCGGUCUGGAUAAAGAAACACCAAAUCAGAAGACUGGCCAUAAUCUUCAAGUUAAAAAUGAAGAUAAAGGGACAAAGGCAUGGACACCAUCAUGUUUAAGGGGACGUGCUGAUCCCAACUUGAAUGCUGUAAAAAUUGAAAAGUUAUCUGAUGAUGAAGAAGUAGACAUCACAGAUGAGGUGGAUGAGUUGUCUUCUCAAACACCCCAGAAGAAUUCUAGCAGUGAUCUCUUGUUAGACUUUCCUAAUAGUAAAAUUCAUGAAACCAAUCAAGGAGAAUUCAUUGCUUCUGACAGCCAGGAAGCUCUCUUUUCUAAGUCUUCCAGGGAUUGUCUUCAAAAUGAAAAGCAAGAUGAAACACUUUCAAGCUCAGAAAUUACACUGUGGACUGAGAAACAGAGCAAUGGUGACAAAAAAUCAAUUGAAUUAAAUGACCAGAAAUUUAAUGAAUUGAUUAAAAACUGCAACAAGCAUGAUGGAAGGGGAAUAAUAGUUGAUGCCAGGCAGUUGCCUUCUCCAGAGCCUUGUGAAAUUCAGAAAAAUUUGAAUGAUAAUGAAAUGCUUUUUCAUUCUUGCCAAAUGGUAGAGGAAAGCCAUGAGGAAGAAGAGCUUAAGCCACCAGAACAGGAAAUAGAAAUAGAUAGAAAUAUUAUUCAAGAAGAAGAAAAACAAGCAAUUCCUGAGUUUUUUGAGGGGCGCCAAGCUAAAACACCAGAACGCUAUUUGAAAAUUAGAAAUUAUAUUUUGGAUCAAUGGGAGAUAUGCAAACCGAAAUACUUAAAUAAGACCUCAGUACGUCCUGGCCUGAAGAACUGUGGAGACGUUAAUUGUAUUGGACGGAUUCAUACAUACCUCGAAUUGAUAGGAGCAAUCAAUUUUGGAUGUGAACAGGCUGUGUAUAAUAGGCCACAAACAGUUGACAAAGUACGAAUCAGAGACAGAAAAGAUGCAGUAGAAGCAUACCAACUUGCCCAGCGUCUGCAGUCUAUGCGUACAAGGAGACGUAGGGUCCGAGACCCAUGGGGAAACUGGUGUGAUGCAAAGGACUUAGAAGGACAAACGUUUGAGCAUCUCUCUGCUGAGGAGUUGGCAAAAAGAAGAGAAGAGGAAAAAGGCAGACCUGUUAAAUCUUUAAAAGUGCCAAGACCAACAAAAAGCUCGUUUGAUCCCUUCCAACUGAUACCUUGUAAUUUUUUUAGUGAAGAAAAGCAGGAGCCAUUUCAGGUGAAAGUGGCUUCAGAAGCACUUUUAAUAAUGGAUUUGCAUGCUCAUGUUUCUAUGGCAGAAGUGAUUGGUCUGUUAGGAGGAAGAUACUCAGAAGUUGAUAAAGUAGUUGAAGUCUGUGCAGCAGAACCAUGUAACAGUCUGAGUACAGGACUACAGUGUGAGAUGGAUCCUGUAUCACAAACACAGGCCUCAGAAACCUUGGCUGUUAGAGGCUUCAGUGUUAUUGGAUGGUAUCAUUCUCAUCCUGCUUUUGAUCCUAAUCCUUCCUUACGAGAUAUUGACACACAAGCUAAAUACCAGAGUUACUUCUCCAGAGGAGGUGCAAAGUUCAUUGGGAUGAUUGUUAGUCCCUAUAAUCGAAAUAAUCCCUUACCAUAUUCUCAGAUUACCUGCCUGGUUAUAAGUGAGGAAAUUAGCCCAGAUGGCUCUUAUCGCUUACCUUACAAAUUUGAAGUACAGCAGAUGUUAGAAGAACCUCAGUGGGGAUUAGUAUUUGAAAAGACAAGAUGGAUAAUAGAAAAAUACAGGCUCUCCCAUAGCAGCGUCCCCAUGGAUAAAAUCUUUCGCCGGGAUUCUGACCUGACUUGUUUGCAGAAACUUUUGGAGUGUAUGAGGAAGACUCUGAGCAAAGUGACCAAUUGCUUUAUGGCUGAAGAAUUCUUGACUGAAAUAGAAAAUUUGUUCCUUUCCAAUUAUAAAAGCAACCAAGAGAAUGGAGUAACCGAAGAGAACUGUACAAAGGAAUUGUUAAUGUGAUUAUUUUAAAGUUAAGACUUUUAAUCUUGACACAGUAGAUCUUACUUUCAAAGUUAUAAACUUAAAGUGAUUGUAGUUAACAUUGGCACAGCUUUGGUAUUUUUUCUCUAUUUCACAAAAUCCAAACUUUGCCACAUAAAUCAUGUGAAAAGGAAGAGAUACAGAUUUGUUUUCAUACAGUGUUUAUCAGAGUGUUCUGCAAACCAGGGUCCACCACGGUGUUCUAGUCCUUUACUGAGCAAUGCUGUAGGCUGUGAAACUUAGCAACCUGGUCGGCUUUACUGUUGUGUUCAGCUUGGGAUUUGGACUAUGUCUCUAAGUCAUUUCUUCCCUGAACUAGUCAUUUAUGUUCCAUUGUGGUAUCUCAUAUUUCAUUUAAAAGCACUUCCAUUCUUUCCAUAUGUUCUGCUGAGAUUUGUUUAUGGCUAUAAAUGAGAUAUGGAUGGGUGGUCACUGAGAUAAUUAAUAUGGUUUAGAACUACUGAUUAGUAAAUCUAACAGGAGGCCAGGAGAGGCAUGACAAGAAAAUCUUAAAAACAGGAAAAACCCAAAGGAGAGAACUAAAUUACCAGUUUCUAAUCAUAGAUACUAGCUUCCAUUUCAUUGUAUAGCAACAGUAUCAUAAGAUAUGCCAUUUUCUCAGCUAUCUGAAAAUUUUUAACCAAUUUUACACACAUAAAAUAAUUAGCUUCAAUUGUGAGUCCACUUACAUUAGUAGGUGUGAUAAAACCUCAUUUAACUGGAACGUAGGUAAUCAUAACUCAAACUUUUUUUCUACUGCCUACUACUAGGAGAAAGAGGCAAAUGAUAAUAAAGCUGGAAUAAAUCAGAGAUUUAAUUUUUAAAACAAGCCUUUCAGGACAUAUUACAUAUUCAGCCCAGUUUCAUAUGCUUUCUGAAUCUAUAAUGGAGGUCAGUGAACUUUUUUAAUGUAAAGGGCCAGUUUGUAAAUAAUUUUGGCUUUUCAGGCCACAUAUGAUGUCUAUGAGACAUUCUUCUUUGUGUGUGUUUUUUACAGCCCUUUAAAACGUUAAAAACCAUUGUUAACUCACAGGCCUCAUAAAACAUAGGCUGUUGGCUAUUAUUCUCCAACCCCUGAUCUAGAGAAUUUUAAACAUUAGAAUUUUGUUUUACAUUUGUUAAGCUUUACGUCGUCUUCAAAUGACACCAAAACUCAGAAUUAUGAUCUGCAUUUAAGCCAAUUUUAAAAUAAAAUAAGCAGUCAUGCUGCCUCAUUUAUUGAAAUUCAGUAGAUUUUAGUUUAUUUCUUAGUAGUCAGAGAAUUGAUUUAUACCUAUUCACCAAACAUUCUUACUAAUGUUCCCUUAUAUCUAAAUCAGAUUGAUUCUAUAUUUUGCUUUGUUUGUAAUCAGUAGCCAAUGAAGAAUAAGGAGUAUUGGAAGAAGCAGUGAGCCAGCUUUAGGUGACCUGGUUCUUGUCUCAACUUUGUGAUUUGGGGAGAUAUAGUUUACUUUCCCUGAGCCUUAAUUCUUGUGUAACUAAAGUCUAACUUAACUUCUUAAUGUCCUUCCAGAACUAAAAUUUUAUUGUUCAUUCUAAUCGUUGGACUACUCAUGUGAAGUUUAUAUUCUGAGUUAAUACAGUUUCCAAAUUAACAUACAUUUUUAAAAAAAGGGUAGUAUUUUUCCAUUUCUCUGUGUGGACUUAGGAUAAACAAUGAAGUAUAGCUUAUAAAACAAUUAGUUUGAGGGCUGAGCGUGUAAGAGGAACUAUACCAAAAGUCAGGAAACCUGAGCUCUUACCCUAACUCUGUUACCAACUUUGCUGUGUGACCUUAAUCAAAACACAUAACCUGGACCCCAUGCUCCUCACCAGUAAAUCAAGGGCCUGAAUUUUAUGGCUUAGUAUUCCCUUCCAAGCUCCGAAGUUGCGUGAUUCUGUGAAAGGCAGUGAUUGAUUCCUUUGUACUCAUCUUCCUUUUGACCUGUUUCCUCAUGAUAUAUUGGGGAACAAAUACUAAAAAGUGUUUUAUACUAGCUUUCUUGAUUGACAUUUCCCUAUAAUACUGAUGAAUUUGGGUGAUGGAAAGUAAUGGAAAUUGUUAAAAGUUCUGCUCUCAAAUCUGAGUCUCCUUGCCCUGUGUGCCAAUGUUUAACCAUAUUUGCUAAUCUAAGCCAUAUUGUGAGCAUCUCAAGGAUGAUACUUGUCAAGAGUUUGGGGCCUUGAGAGCACAGUUUUCAAAAUAAUACUUAAUAUUUUCUGACUAUAGAGUACAUUUGUCUUGUAAAGUAUAUUUUAAAAUACAGAGAAGUGUGAAGUACAAAUAUCUCAGUGCUACUAUUUAAAAAAACACAAUUAGUAUAUAAAUCCUUCCCCAUUUUUUUGACAGUAUAAUUUUAGUUUUUUAAACUUGGUUACUUCUUUCUCUCUUCCUCCAUCAUUUUCCCUGCUUCCUUUUUCUUUUGUCAUAUUCUUAAAACAAUUUUGCAACCACAGGUACCCACAUUGCUGGCACUACCAGCCUUAGGCUACUACCGAGGUUAAUGGAGCCAGGGCCUUGUAGAAGCACAGAGGAAGUCUAUAACUGAGGGGGCCUAUGAUACAGGAAGUUCAGGAGGCAGAGUCUCAAAGGAACACCUGCCUUUAAUAAUGUUUACAGAAGUGGAGAAAGGACUAAAGGACUUAAAGACAUGCAGGUGUCUUCAUCCUGAUUCUGUCUUUGUUAUUGCACAAUGACUAUAAAAUAAUGACCUAAUUUUUUUUUUUUCUGGCUUGGCUAAUGGAAAUCGACACUAGCGCUUCCCCAAUAUUAGACUUAAUCUAAUUCCAAAGUAACAUUCAAGAAAAGAAAAACCAGUGGAACAGGAUCAGUAAGCUCAGACUCUCCAUCUCCGUUAUUUUAGCCUUGACCAUUCUUCUCUAAUCCUUUUAAAUUAUCUUCAGUUUCCAGUUCAAGUUAUAUUGCUUCAGUUACAGUUUGUUUGACCCUGUAUUCAGAACUGCAUUAUGAUUCUUGUGGGCCCUAGAUAGUUUUGCCAUCUUAGACCCCUUCUUCCAUACAAAAUUAAAAGUGAUAUUUUACAAUUGUAUCUGUAUGAAAUGAAUGUAUUAAUAUUUUAGAUUAAAACAUUUUGUUUAGAAGUUCAGUUUUUUCUUAUGAGGCUAAAAAAAAUUAAAACAUUUUUGUGGGCUUCUAAAAAACUGUGGGCCUUAGGUACUGUGCCUAAUGGAUAAGUUGGCAUUGACUGUAUUCUGAAGGGCAUCAUUGGAAAAAUAGCAGUCAUUAUUCUGUCCCCUUCUCCCACCACCACAGUCCUUGCAGAAGUCUUUGCCACUCCAUCCAAGAGCACCGCAGUUUCCACGGUUAUAGAUCUAUAGACUUGAACUUACUUCCUUCCCAACCUAACCAAACUCACAAGGAUUACUUGGGACCAUUCAUCCUCAAAAAAGAUAGGAGGCAGUGGUUUGUUUUAGUCUUCAGAUAUUUUUGUUCUGGUCAGUCCCUAAUCUGUAGUUUUGAAACUCGUGCCACACUUGAAAGGGAAACAUCCUACUACCUUUCUUUCCUCUCCAUUUCCCACAAACCCUUUCCUUCAUCAUCACUCCCUGCAUUCUUACUUCUCAGCAUAUAGAUACAAGACCCUUCUUUCUAUUAUUUAUUGAAAGCUAGGCCUGUAAAAUAGAGAUGGACAGACCAUGCAUGUUUCCAUGAAGCUAUUUAAUGCUGCUCCCAGUCUUCUGUCCAUACCAUUCCUUCCCUGCCCCUAGGAGUGGGGUUGAGGUCUGUGACAUGCAGACUGAAAGCACAGUCAGAACCUCUGCAGCUCUCAACCCAACAGAGGAGACUGUGGCUUCAACAUGCCAACCUGAGCAGGUCUCCUCUGCAUUACGUUCCUCCCAUUUCUCUUGCUGGGUCCUGAUGAGGUGAGCUGGAGAAACCAAUAGUCAGGAUGCCCUGGAAUUGAUGUUGCUCUGUUUUGUGCUCACAAAACAGCCAUGUAACACAUGAGCACCUGAGUUGAAGCCAUCCAGUCGCAAGUCAGCAGACAGCAGUUGAUGGAAUUCUCAGUAGAAAUUCAGUAAGGGUGCCCAAAUUUUAUUUUUUUUUUCACCGAUACUCUACCAAUAUAUGGUAUUUAGGAAAACUUCUUUUAUCCAAGCACAAAGAAAAGCACACACAUUUUUAUAAUCAUCUGCUUCAUCAGGGUAAAUAAAUAAUUUAACAAAUUUGAUCAGCAUCUCUAGUUUACCAGUACUUUAAUAUUAGUUUUCUUACAAAUUAAUGUAUUUUGCAAUAUUUCCAGAAAAUCACUGUGGGAGAAUAAUGUAAUAUACUUUAGGAUAUAUUUCUUGACCUUUUCUUAAAUGGCUUCAUGUGCUAUUCCCCCAAAUUCUGCUUUCUCUAUUUUCUUUUUUAUCUAACCUAUAAUUAUACUUUCUAGUAUAUUCUGAGUCUAUCUUCUAAGCCACCUUACAUUUUUCCUGGAACAAGGGAGGGAAUAAAUAGUUGUCUCCACUAAAUCAGGAAAAAAUAAAAAUAUCCCAGGGGAGCUGUGAUUAUGCCAAGAGCUCUAAACAGAAGUUUGAGAAGGUAAAAAUUAAGUUAUAGUAUCUGAGUUGUUUUUAUUUUCUUCCUUUGGUGUUUAUGAAGGUAUUCAUAAGAACUUUAAUUUCAGGGGAAAAAAUGCCUGAUUUGCUAUUUUUGACAUUUCCUCGUCUCUUAAGAAGUCAGUUAAAUAUGUUUUCAUAGUUUAUAUUCCUGUUUCAUAGAUUACUGUGAAACAUGUGUUUAAACCUAUGAAUUAUAAAAUAGUAUUUAGAUUCUAGCGUGAGUUAAAUAGAUUAUUCAUGUAUCUUUAGAUUUGUGGAUUUGACAUGUAAAUUAUGUGUUGUGUAUAAGUUAGUUACUAAACAUACUGCAUGGUUAUUGAUAAACUUGUUGCUAUUUUUUUCCAAAUGCUAUCAGUGUUUGUGGACUUUUAAAAAUUAGUUUGAAUUUUGGAAUGUUCUGUAAUAAAAUAUAAUUUCAACUAUUUUGUACAUUUAAAUAUGCCAUGUUGUAUAUGUCUGUAUUUAAAAAUAUUGUAAAGAUCUGCAUUUUAAGAAUUAUGAAAGAUUUUCCUCAAAAAUGACAGAACUCUCCAUACUUAAUUGUGACACAUUAUAAGAUACCUGAUUUUAAGCUUUUGGAUUUUGUUCUAAAAAUUAAGUUUAAACAUGCUGAAAAUUCCAUAAAAAUAAAAUUUUGAAAAUAAAGUG